GACGAACGCUGGCGGCGUGCUUAACACAUGCAAGUCGAGCGGUAAGGCCCUUUCGGGGGUACACGAGCGGCGAACGGGUGAGUAACACGUGGGUGACCUGCCCUCAGCUCUGGGAUAAGCCUGGGAAACCGGGUCUAAUACUGGAUAUGACUCCAUGACGCAUGUUGUGGGGUGGAAAGCCUUGUGCGGCUGAGGAUGGGCCCGCGGCCUAUCAGCUUGUUGGUGGGGUGANGGCCUACCAAGGCGACGACGGGUAGCCGGCCUGAGAGGGCGACCGGCCACACUGGGACUGAGACACGGCCCAGACUCCUACGGAAGGCAGCAGUGGGGAAUCUUGCGCAAUGGGCGAAAGCCUGACGCAGCGACGCCGCGUGAGGGAUGACGGCCU
rnacentral:rRNA from 1 species